NNAAUUAAAUGGCCGCAGUAUUUUGACUGUGCUAAGGUAGCAUAAUCAUUAGUUUUUUAAUUGAAAGCUGGAAUGAAGGGUUGGAUGAAAAAAAGACUAUUUUUAUUUAAUUAUAUUAUAACUUUAUUUUUAAGUUAAAAAGCUUAAAUUAUAUUAAAAGACGAGAAGACCCUAUAGAGUUUUAUAUAAAUUAUUUUUAAUAAUAUUAGUAUUAAAUUUUUUAUUUUUAAUUUAUAUUUGAUUGGGGUGAUUAAAAAAUUUAUUUAACUUUUUUUUUAUUUUAAUAUAAAUAAAUAAUUUUUUGAUCCAACAUUUUUGAUUAUAAGAUAAAAUUACCUUAGGGAUAACAGCGUAAUUUUAUUAGAGAGUUCUAAUCGAUAAUAAAGAUUGCGACCUCGAUGUUGGAUUAAAAUUUAUAAUUGGUGUNNNNNNNNNNNNNNNN
rnacentral:rRNA from 1 species